rnacentral:rRNA from 1 species
UGGGGAAUAUUGCACAAUGGGCGCAAGCCUGAUGCAGCGACGCCGCGUGGGGGAUGAAGGCCUUCGGGUUGUAAACCCCUUUCAGCAGGGAAGAAGCGAAAGUGACGGUACCUGCAGAAGAAGCGCCGGCUAACUACGUGCCAGCAGCCGCGGUAAUACGUAGGGCGCAAGCGUUGUCCGGAAUUAUUGGGCGUAAAGAGCUCGUAGGCGGUUUGUCGCGUCUGCUGUGAAAACCCGAGGCUCAACCUCGGGCUUGCAGUGGGUACGGGCAGACUAGAGUGCGGUAGGGGAGACUGGAAUUCCUGGUGUAGCGGUGGAAUGCGCAGAUAUCAGGAGGAACACCGAUGGCGAAGGCAGCUUACUAGGCCAUAACUGACGCUCAGGCACGAAGGCGUGGGGAUCAAACAGG